CCUACGGGAGGCUGCAGUGAGGAAUAUUGGUCAAUGGUCGCGAGUCUGAACCAGCCAAGUAGCGUGAAGGAUGAAUGCCCUAUGGGUUGUAAACUUCUUUUAUAAGGGAAUAACAUGUUCCACGUGUGCGUUUUUGUAUGUACCUUAUGAAUAAGGAUCGGCUAACUCCGUGCCAGCAGCCGCGGUAAUACGGAGGAUCCGAGCGUUAUCCGGAUUUAUUGGGUUUAAAGGGAGCGUAGGUGGGCUGUUAAGUCAGGUGUGAAAGUUUGCGGCUCAACCGUAAAAUUGCAGUUGAAACUGGCAGUCUUGAGUACAGUAGAGGUAGGCGGAAUGCGUGGUGUAGCGGUGAAAUGCGUAGAUAUCGCGAAGAACUCCGAUUGCGAAGGCAGCUCACUGGACUGCAACUGACGCUGAGGCUCGAAAGUGUGGGUAUCAAACAGGAUUAGAUACCCGAGUAGUC
rnacentral:rRNA from 1 species